rnacentral:rRNA from 1 species
UCAUUAGUUUUUUAAUUAAAAGCUUGUAUGAAGGGUUGGACGAGGUAAAAUCUGUCUUUAUUUAAAUAAUUUUAGAAUUUAAUUUUUAAGUUAAAAAGCUUAAAUUUUAAUAAAAGACGAGAAGACCCUAUAGAUCUUUAUAUUAUUAUUUAUAAUUUUAAUUUAGAAUAAUUUAUUUUUUAUAAAAAAUAAUAUUUAAUUGGGGUAAUUUAAAGAUUUAAUAAAUUCUUUUUAAUAUUAAACAUUAAUGAAUGAAUUUAUGAUCCAAUAUUUUUGAUUAUAAGAUUAAGUUACCUUAGGGAUAACAGCGUAAUUUUUUUAGAGAGUUCAUAUCGAUAAAAAAGUUUGCGACCUCGAUGUUGGAUUAAAAAUUAUUUUAGGCGCAGGAGUUUAAAAAUUUGGUCUGUUCGACCAUUAAAUUUUUACAUGAUCUGAGUUCAGACCGGUGUAAGCCAGGUCGGUUUCUAUCUUUAUUUAUUCAUAAUAUUUUAGUACGAAAGGACCAAAUAUUUGAUAUAUUUAUAUUUAUUAUUUAUGAAUAUUAUUA